rnacentral:snRNA from 11 species
GGAUGUGAGGGUGAUCUGGCUGUGACAUCUGUCACCCCAUUGAUUGCAGGGUUGAUUUGGCUGAUCUGCCUGGCUAAGCGGGUGUCUCCUCCCUCCCUCACUGCUCCAUGUGCCUCUCUCCCGAAGCUGCAUGCUCAGUGGAAGAGAAGGACGUCCCAGGUAUAGAAGGAGUAUAGAAGGGGGAAAUGGCAGAUGUCAAACAAAGAUAGGAGUUUUUCAAAAACAAGGCUGCAAGACAGAGAUGUUGACCUUGGGUACUC